rnacentral:rRNA from 1 species
CCCUUAGAUGUCCUGGGCCGCACGCGCGCUACACUGAGUGUCUGAGAUACGAGUCUGCCUGGUCCGGCAAGGUCUAGGUAAUCGCUAUAAGACACAUCAUGCUUGGGAUAGAUUAUUGCAAAUAUUAAUCUUGAACGAGGAAUUCCUAGUAAGCGCAAGUCAACAGCUUGCGUUGAUUACGUCCCUGCCCUUUGUACACACCGCCCGUCGCUACUACUGAUUGGAUGUUUAAGCGAGGUUCUCGAACUGCUAGCGACUUAGCUUCGGUGAGGUCGCAGUGUGGGAAGUGAACCUAGCUUUGGUGUCUAGAGGAAGUAAAAGUCGUAACA